rnacentral:rRNA from 1 species
AAAUUGAAGAGUUUGAUCAUGGCUCAGAUUGAACGCUGGCGGCAGGCCUAACACAUGCAAGUCGAACGGUAACAGGAAGAAGCUUGCUUCUUUGCUGACGAGUGGCGGACGGGUGAGUAAUGUCUGGGAAACUGCCUGAUGGAGGGGGAUAACUACUGGAAACGGUAGCUAAUACCGCAUAACGUCGCAAGACCAAAGAGGGGGACCUUCGGGCCUCUUGCCAUCGGAUGUGCCCAGAUGGGAUUAGCUAGUAGGUGGGGUAAUGGCUCACCUAGGCGACGAUCCCUAGCUGGUCUGAGAGGAUGACCAGCCACACUGGAACUGAGACACGGUCCAGACUCCUACGGGAGGCAGCAGUGGGGAAUAUUGCACAAUGGGCGCAAGCCUGAUGCAGCCAUGCCGCGUGUAUGAAGAAGGCCUUCGGGUUGUAAAGUACUUUCAGCGGGGAGGAAGGGAGUAAAGUUAAUACCUUUGCUCAUUGACGUUACCCGCAGAAGAAGCACCGGCUAACUCCGUGCCAGCAGCCGCGGUAAUACGGAGGGUGCAAGCGUUAAUCGGAAUUACUGGGCGUAAAGCGCACGCAGGCGGUUUGUUAAGUCAGAUGUGAAAUCCCCGGGCUCAACCUGGGAACUGCAUCUGAUACUGGCAAGCUUGAGUCUCGUAGAGGGGGGUAGAAUUCCAGGUGUAGCGGUGAAAUGCGUAGAGAUCUGGAGGAAUACCGGUGGCGAAGGCGGCCCCCUGGACGAAGACUGACGCUCAGGUGCGAAAGCGUGGGGAGCAAACAGGAUUAGAUACCCUGGUAGUCCACGCCGUAAACGAUGUCGACUUGGAGGUUGUGCCCUUGAGGCGUGGCUUCCGGAGCUAACGCGUUAAGUCGACCGCCUGGGGAGUACGGCCGCAAGGUUAAAACUCAAAUGAAUUGACGGGGGCCCGCACAAGCGGUGGAGCAUGUGGUUUAAUUCGAUGCAACGCGAAGAACCUUACCUGGUCUUGACAUCCACGGAAGUUUUCAGAGAUGAGAAUGUGCCUUCGGGAACCGUGAGACAGGUGCUGCAUGGCUGUCGUCAGCUCGUGUUGUGAAAUGUUGGGUUAAGUCCCGCAACGAGCGCAACCCUUAUCCUUUGUUGCCAGCGGUCCGGCCGGGAACUCAAAGGAGACUGCCAGUGAUAAACUGGAGGAAGGUGGGGAUGACGUCAAGUCAUCAUGGCCCUUACGACCAGGGCUACACACGUGCUACAAUGGCGCAUACAAAGAGAAGCGACCUCGCGAGAGCAAGCGGACCUCAUAAAGUGCGUCGUAGUCCGGAUUGGAGUCUGCAACUCGACUCCAUGAAGUCGGAAUCGCUAGUAAUCGUGGAUCAGAAUGCCACGGUGAAUACGUUCCCGGGCCUUGUACACACCGCCCGUCACACCAUGGGAGUGGGUUGCAAAAGAAGUAGGUAGCUUAACCUUCGGGAGGGCGCUUACCACUUUGUGAUUCAUGACUGGGGUGAAGUCGUAACAAGGUAACCGUAGGGGAACCUGCGGUUGGAUCACCUCCUUACCUUAAAGAAGC